AAAUUGAAGAGUUUGAUCAUGGCUCAGAUUGAACGCUGGCGGCAGGCCUAACACAUGCAAGUCGAACGGUAACAGGAAGCAGCUUGCUGUUUCGCUGACGAGUGGCGGACGGGUGAGUAAUGUCUGGGAAACUGCCUGAUGGAGGGGGAUAACUACUGGAAACGGUAGCUAAUACCGCAUAACGUCGCAAGACCAAAGAGGGGGACCUUCGGGCCUCUUGCCAUCGGAUGUGCCCAGAUGGGAUUAGCUAGUAGGUGGGGUAACGGCUCACCUAGGCGACGAUCCCUAGCUGGUCUGAGAGGAUGACCAGCCACACUGGAACUGAGACACGGUCCAGACUCCUACGGGAGGCAGCAGUGGGGAAUAUUGCACAAUGGGCGCAAGCCUGAUGCAGCCAUGCCGCGUGUAUGAAGAAGGCCUUCGGGUUGUAAAGUACUUU
rnacentral:rRNA from 1 species